AAGGGAGGACGGCCUCUCCAUCAAUGCAUCAACGACCGGGACGACCCGG
rnacentral:ncRNA from 1 species